UUACCAUUACCGUGGAUUCCGCGCAGAGAGGUCCGUUUGGAAACAGCGUGGAAUAAUUUUUUUCGAGAUUCCGUGUUUCAGAAAUCUCAGGCGCUGAUAAGGCAGUGCUCACGAACUCGCUCUCCCCAGCGCGCAUCACUGUGCUGCAUUGACGAAAAGAUUGCAGGGCAGGUUUGCCGACGCUAUCGGCGAAAACGUUGGAAGAUAUCUGCAGAGGCGCAGCAAACAAACGGCAUUUCCGAGUUUGGUCAACUAAUAAUCCACGGCCACUUGCACACGGUAGGUGCUGUAUGGAAAGCACAACUGCUGAGAACUGUGCACUUACUAGGAAGGCUUACCAGGCUCGGAACUAAUUUGCCACCGACGGAUCAUCCUAGCGGUUGUCACUGCAGUUACGGGUUGCUUGACCAACGCGUGUGAGUGCUCAGCUGCUCACUGUGAACAAGACCCUCCAUAGGCUUUCCAAUCCAUCAACACAUGAAGCAGGCCCCAGACCGCAAGUGCCUGGGAAUGAAUAUCCAGCUUCUGAAGGGCAACCGCCUCCAGAUAUCUGUACCGUCCACAUCUACGUUCUUUAACUCUUCCUGUACGAGCCUCAGGACGUCGCUCCCUUUCAUUCCUCUAACCACGGGCUCGUAACCAGGGGCCAGGAGGCGAGAACAGCAUAUGGAUUCCUGUGAAGUAGGUACCACUUCCAUCCAGCGCAUGUGCUGAAGAAGCUCACUAAAUAAAGUUUUUCAUUAAUUCUUUAACUCUUCCUAUAUAGGUCUCUAACGAGUCCAACUGUUAAAGUCCCGCCUCCUCGGUAAUAGAAAUUGCCACGGUUGCUGCAAAAAU